GAUGAAGAACGUAGCGAAAUGCGAUAAGUAGUGUGAAUUGCAGAAUUCAGUGAAUCAUCGAAUCUUUGAACGCACAUUGCGCCCUUUGGUAUUCCUUAGGGCAUGCCUGUUCGAGCGUCAUUUAAACCUUCAAGCUAAGCUUGGUGUUGGGUGACUGUCCGCUUCACGGCGGACUCGCCUCAAAAUUAUUGGCGGCCGGUACAUUGGCUUCGAGCGCAGCAGAAACGCGAACUCGGGCCCGUCGUAGUGGCUCCCAGAAGCUAUCUUCACAAUUUUGACCUCGGAUCAGGUAGGGAUACCCGCUGAACUUAAGCAUAUCAAUAAGCGGAGGA
rnacentral:misc_RNA from 1 species